rnacentral:rRNA from 1 species
GGAGCUGUCCUUAGUACGAGAGGACCGGGAUGGACGCACCGCUGGUGUACCAGUUGUUCUGCCAAGGGCAUCGCUGGGUAGCUAUGUGCGGACGGGAUAAGUGCUGAAAGCAUCUAAGCAUGAAGCCCCCCUCAAGAUGAGAUUUCCCAUUCCGCAAGGAAGUAAGAUCCCUGAAAGAUGAUCAGGUUGAUAGGUCUGAGGUGGAAGUGUGGCGACACAUGGAGCUGACAGAUACUAAUCGAUCGAGGRCUUAACCAUAUUU